CUCUGGGCCUCACUGUGUGGACCAGCGUCCGCCUGGUGCUGGGAAUCCUCAGGGAGCCCCAGCUGUGGAGGCCGCCCCAGGCCAAGCAGGGCCACCUGCCCUGGGGUGGGGUCUGGUUCUUAGUGGCUGGGACAGUGUUGGGCGUGCUGGCCGGGGGUUCUGAGAGCCCUGUGAGCCAGGAGGCUGCGGUGUAGACUGCUUAUUGCUGAGCCGGGCAGGCUCAGGAGGGAGAGAUGGCCCCUUCCCUGGACAAGCAAUUCUUGCUCACGUGUGCUUUCCAGGCCCUUGACGCAAGCAGAGACGCAUGGGGAGAUAAGGGCUGGAGGAGGGCGUGUGGACAGGCUGGCCCCGUCCCAGCUCCCGGGCCAGCAGCCCCCGGCCCCCGGCCCUCGCCGCCCGCCCACCGGGCCCUGCCUCAGCACUCUUCCCACAGCAGGUCUUUGUGCCCCAAUCUGGCAGGUGCGGGGGUGGGACGGGGUCCUUGGCAUGAAGCAGCCCUCUGGCUGCAUGUGACAGUGGCGGCCAAGGUCUCCCCUGUGCAUAAAUGUGGACCUCGCUGGGCAGCAGCAGAACUCCAGGCUCAGAGAGUUCUCCACCGCUCCUCCUGGCUCAGAUUUCUCCACGCUCCUCCGGCUCAGAGUUCUCCACCGUUCCUCCGGCUCAGAGAGUUCUCCACUGUUCCUCCCAGGCUCACAGGCUACCCAACGCCAGCGGCCCAGGAGGCUGGACCAGAGAAGCUGCAGCGUGUGGGGCCCACUUGUUACACCAGCGGGAGGCGGAGGGCCCAGGCGCAGACGGCAGCGAGGCGUGGCCGAGGACGCGUGCACUCUGGGUCUGCACGCUUUUGCUGCUGCCUUUUUUUUUUUUUGAGACAGUCUCGCUCUGUUGCCCAGGCUGGAGUGCAGUGGCGGGAUCUCGGCUCACUGCAAGCUCCAUCUUCCAGGUUUAAGCGACUUUCCUGCCUCAGCCUUCCAAGUAGCUGAGACUACAGGCACCUGCCACCAUGCCUGGCUAAGUUUUGUAUUUUUAGUAGAGAUGGGGUUUCACCUUUUUAGGCUGGUCUUGAACUCCUGACCUCGUGAUCCACCUGCCUUGGCCUCCCAAAGUACUGGGAUUACAGGCAUGAGCCACCGCGCCCGGCCAGCGUUUGCUUCUUAACACCUUUAUUACUUUUGUAAUCACGGGUAUGAGUUGAUUUUCUGGUCAGAAAUGUCAGUAGAGCUAAUUUCAUUUAAAUGUGUGAGGUGUGGUAAAGUUUUGAUAAUAAAUGCAAAUUUUGAUAAAGAGGCUCUGUCGUGCUGGUCUCCUCUCAUUCGCGGUGGUCGGAUGUCACAUUAGUCAAGCGUGGACUUGGGGGAACUUAGUUAAAAAUGUGUGAACCUAAGGGGGAUGAAAUGGGUCCUGGGGCCUUGGUUGGGGGCCUGGGCUGGGCACCGGUCUGGGGCCACCCUCCUGAUGACCAGGGUCGCUGGAACAAGUCCAGAGCCUGGGACCGGCUGGCAGUGUUGGGAGAGCCCAGAGGGACGGCUUGUGAGGGUGCGGGACACUGGUCUGCCCUGGGUGGGGGUCCUGUGGCUUCCCAGCCUCCACAAUGGCCAGGGUGGGACUGUGGUCUUGACUUCCCGCUGAUGAAAAAUGGACAGGGGGUCCCUCAUCACGCUGGUUUAAAGAAUGACUGUCGGCUGCUGUCUUAAAAGGAGGCCUGAAUGGGAGGCCGGGAGACCCCACCCUUCAGCCAGAGUCCUUGCCAGCCGGCAGGGCCACGCCCAGGUCUUUGAAGGCCGCAGCCUUUGCUACCAAUGAGCCCAGCAAACAGAGCAAUGAGCCGGCUGAGCGGGAGGCCUCCAGGCGCCCUUAUCGGGGUUGCCUCCCCCCGGCUGCGUCUCCUCUCCAAGCCUAGCACUAAUCUCAUCUGAUAGUCACCUCCCACCUCCCUCACAGCCGGCAGCCUGGGUGUCCCAGGGGAAACCUCGGGCAGCAGGCAGAGGGGUGGGUGCCUCCAGCUGGGACGGCUGCAGGUCACAUGUGGAAGGGCAGCCACGCCCCCCACCCCGAUGAGCUCGGCUGCUCCCCCCAGCCCCCUGGGGAACGGUGGAGGUUGACCCCGCUCAGGAGUCUCUUCCAGGCCUUUGAGUCACUCUCCACAGGACACCUUAACACAGGGUUUUAAAUCUGCACAGACUAAAGCAGGUGUCACCUCACUGUGCUGUGUGGACACGCAGCAGCUACAGACGGCGUCAACCGAAUGGCGGAUGCAGGCACGGCUGGAUCCAGGGAGCCAAAGGCUCUGCCUCACUCUGUGCUCGUACCCUACUCGGCUCUGUUCCUCUGCUUCACUUUGCGCUCGCUUGUACCCUGCCUGGCUCUGUCCCCGCAGGGCUGUCAUCAACAGCACCUGCUGGGCUGUGAGAGGAGACGCCCCUGCUCUCCAGCACGGUGGCCAUUUCCCCAGAAGAGCUGUGGUUCCGAGUCCAAGCAGCCCCUCCCUGCAGUUUCCUGGAUAGUCUCAGGUGCAGAAUCUAAAAGAGAAGUGCACGAGCCCUGCGGACUCCCCGCGGAGAGGGCAGUGGAUAUUCUGCCAUAUUUAUGUCAUGCUGUGUUUUGAACCCUUUGAAUGUCAGUUUCAGAUCUGAGGCCCUGAGUGCUGCCUCUGGAGACAGGGUUUCUCCACACCUGAGGACACGGACCACUCCCCAGCACUGUCCUGAGCCCUCGGAAUCGUCCCCACCAGCUGUACGGGUCCGUGCUUUCCCACACUUCUUCAUCACGGCUCAUGCGUGCGUCUGCGGCUGUGUCGCCUCGGCCUCUGCACCAAGGGCACCCCACCCUCUCCCAGAGGCUUCUGCAGGAGCCCAGCUGAGUCCCCUGGGAGUCCCCGAGGGUUCCUGUCCACUGGAAGUUAGAUGUGGAGGUUCCCAGAGAUUCUUGGCAAGAUUAUUUCAUAGCAACUGCCCCUCCUACCCAACCUGCAGGGAAGGAGCCGGCACAGCCCUUGGCCCCACGUGGCUGAACAGCUCAGAGGGAAAGGAGGGUGAGCAGGAGCCUGGCGGCAUCCAGCAGCCCCCGGCCCAUCGGCAGCCAGAGCUCGCCGGCGUCCACACCCGGGCCCACAGCCUCUCUGUCCUGACAGCCGCUCGGGUUACAUACAGAGAGGACAAGGCAGUGACAAAGGGUGUCUGGGGCUUGGGACAGACACAUGACACACACACAGCACACACGUUCACUACAUGACACACGCAUAGCACACGUUCACUACACACCCACACACAUUCUACACAAAACACGCACAGCACACACGUUCACUACACACGACACACACAGUACACAUGUUCACUACACACCCACGUACACUGCACAAGUUCACCAUACAACAUGCACAGCACAUACGACACACACGUAGUGCACAUACACAACACACAGUAGACACGUUCACUACACAUGCACACAUGCUACAUACGACACAGCACUCAUUACACAUGCAGAACACACACGAUACACAGUAACACCACACGUGCAUAGCUACACACGCAU
ensembl:lncRNA